ACCGGUGAAUGGCUCAGUGGUAGAGCCCAGGACUUGUGGAUCAUAAGGUCCCGGGUUCGGUUCUCGCACAGGCA
rnacentral:tRNA from 1 species